AUGGCGAGGGUACACUCUUCGCCGUCGUUUUCUUCUUCUUCGUCGCCGGCGGGCGAGGGAAGGGGGAAGGUGUUCACGCUGUGGCUCAAGUCGCUGGUGCUCAACGGGCGGGGGUGCACCGUGUACGACUCCGACGGCCACAUCGUCUACCGCGUCGACAACUACGGCUCCAAGUGCAGCGACAACGUCUGCCUCAUGGACCUCCGCGGCAACAUCGUCGUCAACAUACACAAGAAGAAGCUGGCGUUUGGCAAGUGGGAAGGGUACAAGUGGACCGGCCGGAAGCAAGAGGCCAGCGCGUGGUUCAAGGUGGCGCGGCCGCGCAGCGGCAUCUUCCACCGGAGCGGCCGCCGCCCGUCGUCGUCGCCGUGCGAGUUCGAGAGCGACGCCGGCCGCGCCAUGCGGUACAUGAUCGACGACGACGGCGGGGCGCGCGCAGGGAAGCGAGCGUGCUGCAGGAUCGUGGACGCCGGCACCGGGCUGGUGGUGGCGGAGGUGAAGAGGAAGGUGACGGCGGGCGGGGUGGCGCUCGGGGAGGACGUGCUCGCCCUGGUGGUGGAGCCCGGCGUCGACGACUCGCUCAUCAUGGGGCUCGUGCUCGUCUACGGGCUCAUGAAUCGCACCAUGUGA
rnacentral:rRNA from 1 species